rnacentral:rRNA from 1 species
CGCGUAGGUGGUUAAUUAAGUCAGAUGUGAAAUCCCUGGGCUUAACCUAGGAAUUGCAUAUGAAACUGAUUGGCUAGAGUACGGUAGAGGGAAGUGGAAUUUCCGGUGUAGCGGUGAAAUGCGUAGAUAUCGGAAGGAACACCAGUGGCGAAGGCGACUUCCUGGACCGUUACUGACACUGAGGCGCGAAAGCGUGGGGAGCGAACA